UAUGAUGAGUUCUUUUUAAAGGAGAGACGUUUAUUCAAGUUUUCUUCUUCUUCACCUGUCCAAAGCAUGUGUCCUGGACUCUGUAAGUACACAUAUUGUAAAGAAUUACCAUAUUUAUGAAAUCUGGGUCAUAUUUUGUUGAAUACUCUCCCUUCCCCUGCCUCCAGGAUGGGAACUUUGAAAAAGCCUGCAUGCAAAACUGAUAGAGUCUGCUUCCACCACUCUUAUGACUUAGGGAGUCUUUGUUUGGUGCACCCUAGAUUUUGUAAAUGAAUGUGUGUUUGUUCAGAAGCAGUUCUGGGGUAACGGAUGUGAUUCUUUUUUUUAACAGUGGAAGACUAAGGUCUAACAGAAGAAAACCUUUGAGGAAUUAGAGGCGGAGAUAAGUAUUUUCCAUUGGAAAGCCAGACCGCUCCAAGAUAAAUGCUGACAAGUCACCUGCUGCAGGAAAGUGUUGAGCUGGAGAAAAAAAUCUGCUGGCAGACCACAGCAACAGGGAGCUCAUUGCUUUGCAAAACGAAAGUGCUCCAGAAAUGUGCAGUUGAUUUCCCUGGAGUGGGACACUGCUGGUGAAUAGCAGUGUGUGCUGGGAAAGCAUUGCUGAAGACACAGAGUGACCACAAAUGUAGAUCUUGGACACCAUGGUCAGAUCUUCUGUUCCCUUUAUCAAAAUAUUCCUCAGGAUCAAGAAUAGCUGUGGAAAAAGGUGUCAGUCAUGGAGUCAAUACUGAAUUGUAAGAAGCAAUCAUAAUAAUACUAAAUUUGGUAAUUUUUGAAUGUUUUAUUUUUCUGAAAUUAUUUUCACAAGACUUUAACCCUGAGAGAAUAAUACAAUUACUUUGAAUAUUAAUUCUGCUCUUUUGCCAGUCGUAGGAUUGUCUGCUGUUUCCUGUGGCUCAGCCACACUAUGAAUAUAUGCUUCUGAAUUGGUAGAAGUCAGCUCAUGACUUGUGUGUCUGAAGAUUAUAAACUGUUGAAGUAUUUUGCAUUGAAAAACACAAUUGCACCUAUUAGUAGUAGAUACAUCUCUUGUUACUGUUUACCACUAGGCUGAGUUUGGGUGGUGUCUAGGGAGUGUGUGUGUAUGCAAGUGGAAUUGGCAGAGCCCUUGGGCAUGUGCUGGGAACUCCAUCUUGGCUUGCUGCUAAUAUUCUCUAAAAUAGAAAACAAUGAAGUGUUUGCUGCUAGCACUCUCUAAAAUAGGAAACAAUGAUGCAUUUGUUCCAAAAUCCUCCACAGAGGAAAUAUUAUUUUAUGCACAGUAAUCCAACAUAAAUGUAGGAGACUUGGUGAAUAUGAAGAGGAUGCAAGUCCUGAAAACAAAGGUACUGCUUCUCUUUGUGCUGUCUUUGUGUUUUGUUGUCUAUGCCCGAAUUUAUCUGAGCCUGGAAAAACCAUGAAACAUUCCUAAAUCCUGUUUUGUCCUCAUAAUGUUCUGGCAGACAGUAUAAACUCAAUGUAAGUGCAGCCUCCUCCUCCUCCUGUGGCCCAUUUGACAAGUGACAUUUUGUUGUCCCAGGUCAUGACAAUGUCUCACUGGCAGAUGGGGCACAUUUAGGUAAUGUGGCUGGGCAGACUCUUCCAAGGCUCAUCCACACUGCAGGAGAGAAUAUCCUAGAGAAU
ensembl:lncRNA